UUUCCACAGGCUUUCUUGAACUGUGAACUCGUGGGGGUAGAAACCUUGCUGGGUUUGGUUCCCAUGUCGGAUGGAAUGCUUGGCUCCUCCCAGCGAUUCUUCCCCGGCCGUGAGUGAAUUGAAUUGCGGGGUUUCUCGCUUCGCUCGGCCGGCUCUACCUGUUGAUGGUUCAAGAAAGCCCAUGGAAAC
rnacentral:pre_miRNA from 1 species